ACGGGAGGCGCAGCUAAGAAUAUUCCGCAAUGGACGAAAGUCUGACGGAGCGACGCCGCGUGGAUGAUGAAGGUCGGAAGAUUGUAAAAUCCUUUUAUAACUGAGGAAUAAGCCUUAUGAGAGAAACGUAAGGUGGCGACUGUAGGUUAUGAAUAAGCAACGGCUAAUCACGUGCCAGCAGCCGCGGUAACACGUAAGUUGCGAGCGUUGUUCGGAAUUAUUGGGCGUAAAGGGCAUGUAGGCGGUUUUGCAAGCUUGGUGUGAAAUCUCUGAGCUCAACUCCGAAAUUGCGUUGAGAACUGCAUAACUAGAGUCACUGAGGGGCAAUCAGAAUUCCAGGUGUAGGGGUGAAAUCUGUAGAUAUCUGGAAGAAUACCAAUGGCGAAGGCAGGUUGCCAGCAGAUGACUGACGCUGAGGCGCGAAGGUGCGGGGAGCAAACAGGAUUAGAUACCCUGGUA
rnacentral:rRNA from 1 species